GGAGGAUCAGAUGCCAGAAAGUCAGGAGACUGAAGAGUAAAGACGUGGAAAUCCCUGUCUAGACCCUGGUACUGUGGAGAGUUUUGUCCUUGGGAUGGACCUGGCUCCUGCCCUGUAGGCAAUGACCACAGCAGCAUGUCCAGCCUUCCACUGAUGCAGGCGUGUCUGUCUUUUCUCAGAAUAUGAAGAGUGCAAAGACCUCAUAAAAUCUAUGCUGAGGAAUGAGCGACAGUUCAAGGAGGAGAAGCUUGCAGAGCAGCUGAAGCAAGCUGAGGAGCUCAGGCAAUAUAAAGUCCUGGUUCACUCUCAGGAACGAGAGCUGACCCAGUUAAGGGAGAAGUUACGGGAAGGGAGAGAUGCCUCCCGCUCAUUGAAUGAGCAUCUCCAGGCCCUCCUCACUCCGGAUGAGCCGGACAAGUCCCAGGGGCAGGACCUCCAAGAACAGCUGGCUGAGGGGUGUAGACUGGCACAGCACCUUGUCCAAAAGCUCAGCCCAGAAAAUGAUAACGAUGACGAUGAAGAUGUUCAAGUUGAGGUGGCUGAGAAAGUGCAGAAAUCGUC
rnacentral:lncRNA from 1 species